CUCUCUCCUUCCUGGUUUGUAUCGACAAUCUAACAUUAAACAAAACAAAACCAAAUCCAUACGUUAGCACAUACGAUAUCUGUGAAAAUAUUUCGUUAUCUUUUUCAACUACCCCUUCAUCUGCCACUAAUGUAGCUGCAUGGAACUUUUACAACUGCGAUUUAUAUAUAUAUAUAUAUAUAAUUUUUAUUUGCAGUAAUUAUCAAGAAUUUAUUGUGGGCACUUUGAAUCUGAAGUAGUUUUUAUAUAUUUUUUUUCAUAUUUCUUUUUUUGUUUUGACAAAUGCAUUUAUGGGCUUGUUAUUUUCUCUGUUGAGAGAAGAUUCAAGGAGGUUUAUUAAGAGAAAAGAUAGUGAUGCAGGAGAAGCAGGUUUGUUACCUUUCUUUAUGUAUAAAAUUUCUUUCUUCCAUGCAAUUUAUUUAUUUAUUAUUCACCAAAUGUGACUAAUUAAUU
rnacentral:lncRNA from 1 species